AUGAAAGACCUCGGUGAAGCUGCUUAUAUAUUAGGCAUCAAGAUCUAUAGAGAUAGAUCGAGACACUUAAUUGGACUUUCACAAAGCACAUACCUUGAUAAAGUUUUGAAGAAGUUCAAAAUGGAUCAAGCAAAGAAAGGGUUCUUGCCUGUGUUACAAGGUGUGAAGUUGAGUCAGACUCAAUGCCCGACCACUGCAGAAGAUAGAGAGAAAAUGAAAGGUGUUCCCUAUGCUUCAGCCAUAGGCUCUAUCAUGUAUGCAAUUUUGUGUACCAGACCUGAUGUGUGCCUUGCUAUUAGUUUAGCAGGGAGGUACCAAAGUAAUCCAGGAGUGGAUCACUGGACAAUGGUCAAGAACAUCCUGAAAUACCUGAAAAGGACUAAGGAUAUGUUUCUCGUUUAUGGAGGUGACAAAGAGCUCGUCGUAAAUGGUUACGUCGAUGCAAGCUUUGACACUGAUAUGGAUGACUCUAAGUCACAAACCGGAUAUGUGUUUAUAUGGAACGGUGGAGCUGUCAGUUGGAGCAGUUCUAAGAAAAGCGUCAUGGCGGGAUCUACAUGUGAAGCGGAGUACAUA
rnacentral:rRNA from 1 species